rnacentral:rRNA from 1 species
CCUACGGGUGGCAGCAGUGGGGAAUAUUGCACAAUGGGGGAAACCCUGAUGCAGCGACGCCGCGUGAGUGAAGAAGUAUUUCGGUAUGUAAAGCUCUAUCAGCAGGGAAGAUAAUGACGGUACCUGACUAAGAAGCCCCGGCUAACUACGUGCCAGCAGCCGCGGUCAUACGUAGGGGGCAAGCGUUAUCCGGUUUUACUGGGUGUAAAGGGAGCGUAGGUGGCAGGGCAAGUCAGAUGUGAAAACCCGGGGCUCAACCCCGGGAGUGCAUUUGAAACUGGCCGGCUGGAGUGCAGGAGAGGUGAGCGGAAUUCCUGGUGUAGCGGUGAAAUGCAGAGAGAUUAGGAGGAACACCAGUGGCGAAGGCGGCUUACUGGACUGUGACUGACGCUGAGGCUCGAAAGUGUGGGGAGCAAACAGGAUUAGAUACCCUGGUAGUC